rnacentral:rRNA from 1 species
AUUGAACGCUGGCGGCAGGCCUAACACAUGCAAGUCGAGCGGAUGAAGGGAGCUUGCUCCUGGAUUCAGCGGCGGACGGGUGAGUAAUGCCUAGGAAUCUGCCUGGUAGUGGGGGAUAACGUCCGGAAACGGGCGCUAAUACCGCAUACGUCCUGAGGGAGAAAGUGGGGGAUCUUCGGACCUUACGCUAUCAGAUGAGCCUAGGUCGGAUUAGCUAGUUGGUGGGGUAAAGGCCUACCAAGGCGACGAUCCGUAACUGGUCUGAGAGGAUGAUCAGUCACACUGGAACUGAGACACGGUCCAGACUCCUACGGGAGGCAGCAGUGGGGAAUAUUGGACAAUGGGCGAAGGCCUGAUCCAGCCAUGCCGCGUGUGUGAAGAAGGUCUUCGGAUUGUAAAGCACUUUAAGUUGGGAGGAAGGGCAGUAAGUUAAUACCUUGCUGUUUUGACGUUACCAACAGAAUAAGCACCGGCUAACUUCGUG